GACGAACGCUGGCGGCGUGCUUAACACAUGCAAGUCGAACGAUGAAGCCGGAGCUUGCUCUGGUGGAUUAGUGGCGAACGGGUGAGUAACACGUGAGUAACCUGCCCUUGACUCUGGGAUAACUGCGGGAAACUGUAGCUAAUACCGGAUACGACCCUCGGAGGCAUCUCCUGGGGGUGGAAAGAAUUUCGGUCAAGGAUGGACUCGCGGCCUAUCAGCUAGUUGGUGAAGUAAAGACUCACCAAGGCGACGACGGGUAGCCGGCCUGAGAGGGUGACCGGCCACACUGGGACUGAGACACGGCCCAGACUCCUACGGGAGGCAGCAGUGGGGAAUAUUGCACAAUGGGCGCAAGCCUGAUGCAGCAACGCCGCGUGAGGGAUGACGGCCUUCGGGUUGUAAACCUCUUUUAGCAGGGAAGAAGCGAAAGUGACGGUACCUGCAGAAAAAGCACCGGCUAACUACGUGCCAGCAGCCGCCGCGG
rnacentral:rRNA from 1 species